rnacentral:rRNA from 1 species
GACGUAGGGCGCGAGCGUUGUCCGGAUUUAUUGGGCGUAAAGAGCUCGUAGGCGGCUCGUUGCGUCAAUCGUGAAAACCUACUGCUUAACGGUGGGCUUGCGGUUGAUACGGGCAUGACUGGAGUUCGGCAGGGGAGACUGGAAUUCCUGGUGUAGCAGUGAAAUGCGUAGAUAUCGAGAGGAACACCAGUGGCGAAGGCGAGCCUCUGGACGACUCCUGACACUGAGGCACGAAAGCUAGGGGAGCAAACAGG